CGGAUCUCUUAAAGCCGUUCUCAGUUCGGACUGUAGGCUGCAACUCGCCUACACGAAGCUGGAAUCGCUAGUAAUCGCGGAUCAGCACGCCGCGGUGAAUACGUUCCCGGGCCUUGUACACACCGCCCGUCACACCAUGAGAGUCUGUAACACCCAAAGCCGGUGGGAUAACCUUUAUAGGAGUCAGCCGUCUAAGGUAGGACAGAUGAUUAGGGUGAAGUCGUAACAAGGUACC
rnacentral:rRNA from 1 species